rnacentral:rRNA from 1 species
UACGAAAGGGGCUAGCGUUGUUCGGAAUUACUGGGCGUAAAGCGCACGUAGGCGGCCCUGUAAGUUGGGGGUGAAAUCCCGAGGCUCAACCCCGGAACUGCCUUCGAUACUGCAAGUCUCGAGGACGCGAGAGGUGAGGGGAAUUCCGAGUGUAGAGGUGAAAUUCGUAGAUAUUAGGAAGAACACCAGUGGCGAAGGCGGCUAACUGGCUCGGUACUGACGCUGAGGCGCGAAAGCGUGGGGAGCAAACAGG